rnacentral:hammerhead_ribozyme from 1 species
CUUCAGCCGAUGAGUCCCAAAUAGGACAAAACGCGCGUCAAAUUGAAU